CCUUCGGGAGGGCGCUUACCACUUUGUGAUUCAUGACUGGGGUGAAGUCGUAACAAGGUAACCGUAGGGGAACCUGCGGUUGGAUCACCUCCUUACC
rnacentral:rRNA from 1 species